rnacentral:rRNA from 1 species
GAUGAACGCUGGCGGCGUGCCUAAUACAUGCAAGUCGAGCGAACAGACGAGGAGCUUGCUCCUCUGACGUUAGCGGCGGACGGGUGAGUAACACGUGGAUAACCUACCUAUAAGACUGGGAUAACUUCGGGAAACCGGAGCUAAUACCGGAUAAUAUCUUGAACCGCAUGGUUCAAUAGUGAAAGACGGUUUUGCUGUCACUUAUAGAUGGAUCCGCGCCGCAUUAGAUAGUUGGUAAGGUAACGGCUUACCAAGGCAACGAUGCGUAGCCGACCUGAGAGGGUGAUAGGCCACACUGGAACUGAGACACGGUCCAGACUACUACGGGAGGCAGCAGUAGGGAAUCGUACGCAAUGGGCGAAAGCCUGACGGAGCAACGCCGCGUGAGUGAUGAAGGUCUUCGGAUCGUAAAACUCUGUUAUUAGGGAAGAACAAAUGUGUAAGGAAAUAUGCACGUCUUGACGGUACCUAAUCAGAAAGCCACGGCUAACUACGUG